rnacentral:lncRNA from 1 species
UCCUUUAGGACUCUUAUCUUGUAGAUAGGUACAAAUCUCAAUCGUUGAUAUAAUUCAAUUUGUACGUUGAUUUUGGGGAAGCUUAACUAUAAAUAAAGGUCUUCCCCCUCAUUUGUGUCCACUCAGUUGUAAACCUUCAAAGUAAUAAAGAUAAUUUGUGAGCAUUUACUCAAACACUUGGUGUGCGCUAUUUUUCAAUAGUUUUUUUGUUCGCUCAUAGCUUCUUUUGUCUUUCGAGUUUGCUUCUAAUUUGCUUUGUUGUCUUAGAGAAUUUAUGCAAGAAUUCACAUUCUUCGAGAGUAAAGCUGACUUUGGCAAAUUUGAACCCAAGAAAUUCUCUAAGGUCUCGCGGUUUGGCAAGUUAAAGUUCUAUCCCCUAUGACAGCUGGUAUCUGAGCCAAUAUUCAAAGGCACCGAUUAAGAUAUGAAAGGAGGAGAUUAAGGGAUAUACUAUUGAGUUUGGAAGGUCAAGUGACCAAUCUUGAGGAAUCCAUGGGUGGUGUGAAGGAAACACUCGAGAUAGUUCAGGGACGCAUAGAUGAGUUAGACUCCAUGAAAGUGUAACUGAAGGACUGUGUGGUGGAAGCUCUCAGUUUUAGUUAGGAUGCGAUAAAAGAGACCCUCAAUUUUGAGGGGAUAAAGUCUGCAAGAGAUGUGGACAAUUUUCUCAAGGGAUGGAACAAUACUUCUAUGCGAUAGGCAUCGAGGAUGAUGUCACUAAGGUAAACAUUUUUGUUG